rnacentral:lncRNA from 1 species
UUUGGCAGCCAAUAAAAAUUUACCCCACCUGGGAGAUCAACGAAUCAGAUUCCGAUGUCCCAGACGAACAGGAAGUUUACAAUCGUUGUUGACACACGAGCUACACAUUUAGGUACAAUUUCUUAGCGAAAAUUGUUGCUUUUUGUCUAAACAAAGAAAACAUGGUUUGCGACAAUUGUGAGAAAAAGCUGGGCAGGGUGAUAACUCCAGACACCUGGAAGGAUGGAGCGAGAAACACUACAGGUUACAGAAUUUUGUAUUACAAUGUUUAGAAUUCUUUGAUACUCAUUAUUCAUUACAGUAUUGUAUUAUGUUUAUUAGAGAGCGGUGGGCGGAAGCUGAACGAGAACAAGGCUCUGACAUCUAAGAAGGCCAGGUUUGAUCCUUAUGGGAAGCCAGGAAAGUCAGGCUUUGGCAUCUGCAGAAUCUGCAAGAGCUCUGUUCACCAAUCAGGAUCUCACUACUGCCAGGGCUGUGCCUACAAGAAAGGUACUACCGUAAAUUCCGGACUAUAAGCCGCAACUUUUUUCCCAGCUUUGAACCUCGCGGCUUAAACAAUGACGCGGCUAAUAUAUGGAUUUUUCCCGCUUUCAAUUUUUUUUCUGCAAAAAAACAUUCUGUGACGUGCUCAGUUUUUUGGCGGCAUGAAGCUUUCAUUAGACCAAUGAAAUUGCCGAACGGUUAAGGUCAAACAACUUUUUUGUUUACUGUUUAGAUUAAAUCGAGCGCUCUCAAACUUCCCAUCAUUCUGAUUACGGUAGUCAUUUUGUCACCCUCAUCAUGGCAAAGACACAGAGAAAUGCAUAUGAUGCAGUUUUCCAGUUGAAGGUGAUUGAUCUGGCUGUUGGAAAAGGAAAUAGAGCUGCUGCACGGGAGCUUGGUCUUAAUGAGUCGAUGAUAAGACGUUGGAAACAGCAGCGUGAGGAAUUGACUCAGUGCAAAAGACAACUAAAGCUUACUGCAAUUUUUUUAUUUUUUGUUACAAGCCGUGUUUCGUUAAAGCCUAUUUAUUUUUGUUACAAGCCGUGUUUCGUUAAAGCCUGUGUAAAGUUCAUUUGUUUCAAUGUACUGGUAGGCACCUGCGGUUUAUAGACAUGUGCGGCUUAUUUAUGUUCAAAAUAAUAAAACAUUUUAAAUUCAGUGGGUGCGGCUUAUAUUCAGGUGCGCUUAAUAGUCCGGAAAUUACGGUAUAUCUACCUAAGCACACACACCAUGUUUUAUUACAUUUUGGUUGCUCUUUCAGAAGCAAAUUGUGUGACACUUUCACCUGAUAACAAUCUCCCUUAUCUCCCUUUUUCUUUCUCAGGUAUCUGUGCCAUGUGUGGGAAAAAGGUUCUGGACACCAAGAACUACAAGCAGACCUCUGUCUGACAGGCUUCUGACAGGCCACCAGGAUGACCGGAGAGAGGGAGAGGGGAGGAAGGUGUGCACGAGGAAUGACGACUUUAUCCUGUUGUUUAGACCCCCUGUCUAAAACACUCAUAGCAGAGUUGCAGUCAAGGGGUUUUUACUCUGUGUGUGUGUGUGUGUGUGUGUGUGUGUGUGUGUGUGUGUGUGUGUGUGUGUGUGUGUGUGUGUGUGUGUGUGUGUGUGUGUGUGUGUGUGUGUGUGUGUGUGUGUGUGUGACAGAUGUGGAGCAGGGUUUCCCUCCCUAUUGUAAAGCUCCUAUAAUUUUCAGCUUUGUAGCAGCAAUACGUGGCCAGCACUGUUCCACACACCAAAUCGGAGACUACUUUUAGUUUUAAUAGCUGAACUGAUGGUUUCUCUCCUGUUGUGUAAAAUCUGCUCUGAUACAGGAGUUUCCUUUUAUUGAUUCUUUGUGAAUUAUAUCAAGUGUUAUGUUUUGAGUGCAUAAAAAUAUUCAAUAUGUAAUGGCAAUGACAGGAUUAUUUAUUACUUUUGUGUAGUUUCAGACGAAAAGCAUAACAAGUAUGUCUGUUCAAUGUACAUGGUCUUCUUAUUCAGUAGGCAUGAUCACGAGUCAUUACCCUCUUCUGUGUCUUGCCGUGUUCACGUGCUAGUCGUUUUCUCUGAGAUUUCUGACUGUCUAACUGGUUUAACACGGCACAUGUAUAACUACAACCAGCUAGCUAGUCAGAAAUUUCUUGAGUUUCCUAAUUCCGACUAGCAUGUGAACGUGGGAUCUCUGUCAGCUCUAUGCCCCACAGGGAUUGGUUUAGAACCUCUGACAUCAUCAUGAUGUGACACAGCAUGCUGUAACUUCCUGUGCAACCCAGGGUCAGGUUAGAGAACAGAGGUUGGCUAAGUCAUUGACAUUUAAAUGUCCUGUCUACCCUCAGGCUCUCCACUCUACCCCACCAUACACACAUCCAGCCUGUUACACAGAAAGGAAGAGCCAAACCACUACCGUCGUAGUGAUAUUGUUUUAUUGAGAACACACGAUUCAUGAAAACAAAUAUGGCAACAUAGAGAGAGGAAAACAUUGUUGCACAUAUUAAGAAAAAAACAGGAAUACUUUCCUAAUAUUGAGUUGCACCCCCUUUUGCCCUCAGAACAGCCUCAAUUCGCCAGGGCAUGGACAACAAGGUGUUGAAAGAGUUCCACAGAGAUGUUGGUCCAUGUUGACUCCAAUGCUUCCCAUAGUUGUGUCAAGUUGGCUGGAUGUCCUUUGGGUGGAGUACCAUUCUUGAUACACACAGGAAACUGUUGAGUGUGAAAAACCCAGCAGUGGUGCAGUUCUUGACACAGUCAAACCAGUGCGCCUGGCACCUACUACCAUACUCAGUUCAAAAGCACUGAAAUAUUUUGUCUUGCCCAUUCACCCUCUGAAUGGCACACACACACAAUCCAUGUCAAUUAUCUCAAGGCUUAAAAAUCCUUCUUUAACCUGUCUCCUCCCCUUCAUCUACACUGAUUGAAGUGAAUUUAAAAGGUGACAUCAAUAACGAAUCAUAGCUUUCAGCUGGAUUCACCUGCUCAGUCUGUCAUGGAAAGAGCAGGUGUUCUUAAUGUGUUGUACAUCUAUAGUAGGACACGUUGGCUUACAUGGGG